UACGUAGGGUGCGAGCGUUGUCCGGAAUUACUGGGCGUAAAGAGCUCGUAGGUGGUUUGUCGCGUUGUUCGUGAAAACUCACAACUCAAUUUGUGGGCGUGCGGGCGAUACGGGCAGACUGGAGUACUGCAGGGGAGACUGGAAUUCCUGGUGUAGCGGUGGAAUGCGCAGAUAUCGGGAGGAACACCAGUGGCGAAGGCGGCUCUCUGGGCUCUACCUGACGCUGAGACGCGAAAGCGUGGGGAGCGAACCGG
rnacentral:rRNA from 1 species